GAUUUUCAGUAGAGGAUCUUUACUUAUCUUUUUCAAAACGAAAAUUCCUGGAAAUGGAUUGCAUAACAGAAGUUUGAGCUUCAAGUAUAUCACCAUAAUGAAGAUGUACAACUAUAUUUCCGAAGUACUUCUAAGUCGCUCCACUGCCA